AGAGAAGCAGGUGCCCCCACAGAUAACCCCACAAUCAGGCCGGCAGAAGCUGAAGCAGGCCUAACUGCGCCCCAGCACUGGGAAGAGCAGGGUCGCCAAGGGCCUUCGCACACCGUGUGUGGUUUGUUCCCACCUCUGGUUGUUUUUCAGUUAGAUCACUUCUCUGGUCUGGAAACUAUGCCUGUGGUGGAUGGGCAAUGGAGGAGAGCAAUGCUGGGGAAAAAUGACUGUUUUGUUCAACCUGAGAGCUAGAGGAAAAUGUUUGUCAGACUAGAGCAAAGGCUCUGAAUGAGCUGUGCAGGUCUAACACCUCACUGCUGCUAAUACAGGGAAGUCUUCAGUUCUGUUCCCCUUCCUGUUGCCAGCACCAUGUUACCACUACUUCCUUUCACAAUGGCUCUGGCACUUGUAAAAACCUUCCGUGACCUGAGACACCUUAAUCACCUGGCAGAAAAUAAAAUCAUUUUUAAAAAAAGUCAAUAAAUUUUAUGUGGGUUCAUGAGUAGAGCUGGAUCACAGGUGUCAGAUGUACAGCAGAGCUGGCAAACACAGAGAUGGGAUGACCUGGGGAUGAGGGUUGGAGAAAAAAAAUCAAGCUAGGGGAAGUCUGACACCUCAAUGGUCAGGAGUUGUUAGAUCAGCUGCUCAUCAAACCACACCCUCAGGGCCCCUUCUCAUAGCA